AGGUUGGGGAGGCUAUGUCAGAAACGGCUUGGGGCUCACGUGUUGGGGGCAACCUGUGUCCCCUGCCUUGGCAUGCCUGCCUGAGUCUCCAGGGCCGGCCUCUGAGCCAACAGCAACCCCCAUCCCUGCUUUCCAGAAUCUGGAAACCUCAGGGCUGGACAUCCCCUUUCCUCAGGACUGCAGGUCAGACAGUGGGUAGCUGGAGAAGCUGGGGCUUGGGGAGGUCCAGCUUGGGGGAGGUAGGAGGAGCCGUCCUGGGUAUUGUCCGCACAUCUAUCCUCACCCUUGGUGACCAUCUAUUCUUUGGCUUUUUCUUCCCUGGUGUGUGUCUUGGGCCCUUGGAGCAGGUCUGAAUUCCCUGGGACUGUUUUCCUGUCUGGUGAAUGGGAUUAAAAUGCCUGCCCACUGGCCUCAGGGUGAGGAAGGAACAGGGUAACAGGAGGAAAGGCUCAGAGAUGUUGGCUCCAGGAUGGGGAGAGGCACAAAGAAAGAUAACCUUAGCAUCACCACCCUGGGGCCCUGCCCUCAGAUAGCCCAGAAUCUCCCCACCUCUCCUUUUCAUUGGCCCCCCCACGCUGGUCUAGGGCUGUCAUCUCCAGCCUUGGUGUUCUGGCUCCUGCCCCCACACUCUGUGCCUCUCACAGUGACCCUGAGGACACCUGCGAACACCUGAGUCAGGUCACACCCCUCCCCAGCUCAAGAGCCCUCCAGGGCUCCCAGCUCAUGGAUAAAACCCCCAGUCCUCCCACAGCCCAUAAGACCCUGUGUGUUCUGCCCUGUCACCUCUGUGCCCUCACCUCCUCUUGCUCUUUCCGUGCUCACUUGGCUGCCGCUUUCCUUGUGGAAAACACCAGGCACAGUCUGACCUCAGGGCUUUUGCACAAGCUGUUGCCUCUGCCUGGAACAUUCUUACCUCCGAUAACCAUCUGGUUCCCUCAGUCCUCCCCUUCAUGUUUUGGUUCAGUUUCCUGACCCACCCCUCGAGUCCACAUACAAUCCCCCCCCACCCUCAGCACCCCAGCUCCUCCCAAUGUUCUCGAUUCUCUGUAUUCUCGCCGCCUCCCAUCACGGACUCUACCUACUUACCUUGCUUACUGUCUGCCCACACCCCCUCCACUCCGGUCCAUUCGCGUCUCUGCAGUCCGUGGCACAGAGCCUGCACCCACUAAGUCUCCAUACUUCGUACCCACCCCCUCAACACACCCUGUCGCUGCCCCCCUGCUGAAGGGAAACCCUCUUCAGGCUUCCUGAUCUGGCCCUUGCUGGGGUGGCACACUGUUCCUUCUCCUUCUCUCUGUCCUUAAGUUCCAGCCCCGCCGACCUAUUUGGCAACGCCACCCCCACCUCCCCAGACAAUCUUGUGACCUCUGUGCCACAGCAGGGAGGCAGGGACAUGAUGGGUCCCUAUGAGUCCGAGGGGAAACUGGCACGUGGAGUGCUGGGCCACUGGCAGGAGGCUCCUCACCUAAGAAGUGGCUGAGCCAGGAUUAUUCAAUCACUACUAUUAUUACUGCUACUACUAAUAAUACUAUUUAUACUGUAUUCUAUUCUAUAUUUUGAUGAUUGUAGCUACAGCAGUAACAAAUCAUCCUGGUGGAAGGCAGUGCUCAUCCAGCACCUACUGCUCACCAGGCCCCCUUCUAAGCACACUACAGAGAUUGAGCUCCCUGAUCUUACCCACAGCCCUAGAAGGCAGGUGCUGCGAUUUCCGUUCGUGGGGCGGGCUAGCGGAGGCACAGCACCAUGAAGGGACUUGGAGUCACAGGGCAUGCCCAUCUCAGAUCAGAGGACCCCAGCAAGCCCCAUCUCUCCCCCUCUGGGACCAUAGGGUCUUGGGCAGGUGAUGUCCCUGGGCCUCAGUUUCCUCAGCUGUGAAAUGGCUGGCACCUUGCCAAGCACAGGCAAGGGUCAUAAAAGAGAGCACAGAUUGCAAGGGUGUAGCUAGGAGGGGACGCUCAGUGAACAGCAGCUGUAGCUCUUAGGGUACACUCCUUCUCUUUGCUGCGGUGGGGAGAGAGACAAGGAGACCUCAGGGUCCUGCCUCCCAGCCUCUUGUGCUGCCUACCUAUGCCCAGCACCCACACUAGCCCUUGCUGAAGUGGGGGGUCAGAUGGGGUCUCUGGCUGGAGGGGGACUAACAGGAAGCCCCCUGCCUGGGAGACAAUGGCAGAGGAAGGGGCCGGGCCAGCCCCCACACGGAUGAGCCCAGCUGCGGCUCCAGGAGGGCGGCACAGCUAUUGUGAGUCCAGACAGCUGUCCCUGAGCCAGGAAGCCCCAGGAAGCCAGGGAAGAAAGUGGGAGGUCGCUGGCCGACCCUGACCCCCAACCCAGGCCAGGCCUGACAAUGGACCCUUUGUCUCCUCCUGCAGGCUGGACACCUGGAUUCCACCCCCCCCCCCCAGGCUGGGCCCCCAGGGUCCCCCUCAGGAGAUGCCUAGCCCCAGCUGGCACCCUCCUAACCCCCCCGCCACCCACACUGCCCAGCCCAGCCUGGGGAGUUAGCAGGCAGUGCUGAGCUGCCGUAUUUAUAGUUCCCUGGCACUGCUGAGCAAACUUCUAAAUAUAGUUGCCGAGCUAUUUGGGGCCUCGGCCCGGGGUGCAGUGGGAGUGGAGGGCACCGCACGUGUGCCUCCCUGGCCUGGGCCCUCGAGAGGGCUUGGGCCUGUCUCCCGGGGCUGAGGCUGUGGAGGGGGGGUCCUGGGGGUGCAGUUUGUCUGUCUGAAGGGGGGUACACAGAGAAAGGCACAGUGGAGUUGCUCAGAGCCACAGCACAGGGAAACUGCCCGAAAGAGGUGCAGGCGCGUUCCAGGCCCAGGAGGAGGACACACAUCUGUGCCUGGUGCCCCCAGUGUCCCAUUCCUCCACUUCUUUCACGCCAAGAGCUACCGGGGUAGGGAAAGUGGACCGAGGUGUCACCACAAUGUUCUCAGCUUCUAGGAAAUAAAGGCCCCCAGGAAGUUGCAGGGACAGCCCUGAACCUCAAACAAACCCCAGCUCCUAGCAACCUACUUCCCCUUCCCCAUCAGGGCUGACCUCACUGGUGGCUCGUGUGGGGGGUGGUGACAAGGCUGGGGGUUGGGGUGGGGCUAUAAAUAGCCAGUUUAUAAGCAGCUGCUGAGCCAGCUGGGGCAGAGGGUGGCUCUGGAGCCCAGAGGGCUUCUCACGGACAGCGGGACCCCAAAGUGUCACCCCCUCCCAGCAGUGGCCAAGAUUUAGGGAAGUAAGGGGGACGCGAGGGACAAGUUGCUUAAAACCAGCAAAGUCAAUGAUUCCUUAAAGUAGCGCCCUAAAAAAUAAAAAUAAAAAUAAAAAUAAAAAAAUAAA